GGGCUCCAGUUGACAGCACAGGUACUAAAAUUGGAAGGAGACAGAAAAUUAGCAUGGCCUCUGCAUGAGGAUGGACACUCAGAGCUCUGGAUGAUGCUUCAAGUCUAA
ensembl:snRNA U6 U6 spliceosomal RNA